rnacentral:rRNA from 1 species
AUGAACGCUAGCGGCAGGCUUAACACAUGCAAGUCGAGGGGCAGCAUACCCGGCGACGGGUGAUGGCGACCGGCGGAAGGGUGAGUAACGCGUGAGCAACAUACCCGUAUCAGUGGGAUAAUACAGGGAAACUUGUUCUAAUAUCACAUAAUAUUAUUCAGAGGCAUCUUUGGAUAAUUAAAGUUCAGGCGGAUACGGAAUGGCUCGCGUGACAUUAGCUAGAUGGUAGGGUAAAGGCCUACCAUGGCUAUGAUGUCUAGGGGUUCUGAGAGGGAGGUCCCCCACACUGGAACUGAGACACGGUCCAGACUCCUACGGGAGGCAGCAGUGAGGAAUAUUGGACAAUGGAUGAAAAUCUGAUCCAGCCAUGCCGCGUGCAGGAAGGCGGCCCUAUGGGUUGUAAACUGCUUUUGUACGGGAGCAAUAAGGUCUACGAGUAGAUUGAUGAGAGUACUGUACGAAUAAGCAUCGGCUAACUCCGUG